AUGUCUGGCCACGCAGUUCCUGGAUCUACUACUUCUCAAGGGAGCCGCCAUCGGUCUGGAGGUAGCAGAUGGGACAUUCCUCCAGCUGGGGGAUCUCGUGGUAUGCGUUCCCAUCCACACGGGGUUCUUCGCUAUCGUCCUGGUUCUUCCACUUGGAAGCGUGACAGCAGCACCAUUCAAAUGGGCAGUACCAAUAAUUUGACUAGAAUCAAAGGAAAGAAUUUGGGAAGCAUGGAUUUAGACACCAAUGUUGUAAAAGGCGGAUCAGCUAUGGCCUUUGGCCAAGAGGAGGGAGGAAAUUAUGAUCCAUGGCCCUUGCGAUCUCCUUUGCAGGCUGUUAGUACAAGUACAGUUAGUUCCCGUCAAGAAGCUUUCUCUCCUUCUGCCAUUGAUCGCCUCCACCACAUGGAUUUGGAUGUUGGUUAA
rnacentral:rRNA from 1 species